rnacentral:rRNA from 1 species
AGAGUUGAUCUGGCUCAGGACGAACGCUGGCGGCGUGCCUAACACAUGCAAGUCGAACGGACGAGGGGAGCUUGCUCCCCAAGUAGUGGCGGACGGGUGAGUAACACGUGAGCAACCUGCCCUUCGGAGGGGGACAACAGCGGGAAACUGCUGCUAAUACCGCAUAACGUAUCUGGGAGGCAUCUUCCGGAUACCAAAGAUUUUAUCGCCGAAGGAUGGGCUCGCGUCUGAUUAGAUAGUUGGCGGGUAACGGCCCACCAAGUCGACGAUCAGUAGCCGGACUGAGAGGUUGAACGGCCACAUUGGGACUGAGAUACGGCCCAGACUCCUACGGGAGGCAGCAGUGGGGAAUAUUGGGCAAUGGGGGGCAACCCUGACCCAGCAACGCCGCGUGGAGGAAGAAGGCUUUCGGGUUGUAAACUCCUUUGACGAGGGACGAUAGUGACGGUACCUCGAAAACAAGCCACGGCUAACUACGUGCCAGCCGCCGC